rnacentral:rRNA from 1 species
CAGUAGCCGCGGUAAUACGUAGGGUCCGAGCGUUGUCCGGAAUUAUUGGGCGUAAAGAGCUCGUAGGCGGUCUGUCGCGUCUGCCGUGAAAUCCUCAGGCUCAACCUGAGGCGUGCGGUGGGUACGGGCAGGCUAGAGUGCGGUAGGGGAGAAUGGAACUCCUGGUGUAGCGGUGGAAUGCGCAGAUAUCAGGAAGAACACCGAUGGCGAAGGCAGUUCUCUGGGCCGUAACUGACGCUGAGGAGCGAAAGCGUGGGGAGCGAACAGGAUUAGAUACCCCCGUAGUCCCUGUCUCUUAUAC